rnacentral:tRNA from 1 species
CGGAAGAUAGUUAAAUUGGUAGAAUAUCUGGUCCUAACCCAGAAGAUGUAGGUUCAAGUCCUCCUCUUCCGA